UCCUCCCUCUUUCUUCGUGCUUCCCCCCUGCACGUCGACCGGAAAGGCCCUGCUUUUGUGGGGUGCUCGAGUGGCGAACGGGUGAGUAACACGUGAGUAACCUGCCCUUGACUUUGGGAUAACUUCAGGAAACUGGGGCUAAUACCGGAUAGGAGCUCCUGCUGCAUGGUGGGGGUUGGAAAGUUUCGGCGGUUGGGGAUGGACUCGCGGCUUAUCAGCUUGUUGGUGGGGUAGUGGCUUACCAAGGCUUUGCCGGGUAGCCGGCCUGAGAGGGUGACCGGCCACAUUGGGACUUGAGAUACGGCCCAGACUCCUACGGGAGGCAGCAGUGGGGAAUAUUGCACAAUGGGCGGAAGCCUGAUGCAGCAACGCCGCGUGCGGGAUGACGGCCGUCGGGUUGUAAACCGCUUUCGCCUGUGACGAAGCGUGAGUGACGGUAAUGGGUAAAGAAGCACCGGCUAACUACGUG
rnacentral:rRNA from 1 species